AUCAAAAACAUAGUCGGUAGAAUAUAUUAUCGGUUGUUUCUGCCCAGUGUAAUAUCAACGGCCGCAGUACCUUGUCUGUGCUAAGGUAGCAUAAUAAAUUGGCUAUUAAUUGUAGUCUGGAAUGAAAGGGAGAAUGAAUAGAGACUAUAAUAAAUUAUAUUACUUGAAUUUAUUAAUUAGGUGAAAAUACCUAAAUAUAAGAAAAAAGACGAGAAGACCCUUAGAGUUUUUAAGAAAGGGAAAAUAAUUUUCUUAAUUUUUUGUUGGGGCGACAAGAAAACAAAAUAAACUUUUCUUAAUAAAUUUUAUAUGACGACAUUGUUAUGAAAAAAUAAACUACCUUAGGGAUAGCAGCAUAAUGAUAAAUAUUAGUUUGUGACCUCGAUGUUGGACUAGGAACUUUAAUACUAACAGUGUUAUAAGAGUGUUCUGUUCGAACAAUUAACUCC
rnacentral:rRNA from 1 species